rnacentral:misc_RNA from 1 species
GAUGAAGAACGCAGCGAAAUGCGAUAAGUAGUGUGAAUUGCAGAAUUCAGUGAAUCAUCGAAUCUUUGAACGCACAUUGCGCCCUUUGGUAUUCCUUAGGGCAUGCCUGUUCGAGCGUCAUUUACACCUUCAAGCUCUGCUUGGUGUUGGGCGUCUGUCCUGCCCCUCGGGGCGUGGACUCGCCUUAAAUCUAUUGGCGGCCGGUACCGUGGCUUUGAGCGCAGCACAUCAGCGACCUCAUCGCCGGAGCGUAUCGACUCCCAGAAGCCCAUUUUCUAUGUUUUGACCUCGGAUCAGGUAGGGAUACCCGCUGAACUUAAGCAUAUCAAUAAGCGGAGGA